rnacentral:rRNA from 1 species
CGAGGGGGCCCCGCACAAGCGGAGGAGCAUGUGGUUUAAUUCGAUGAUACGCGAGGAACCUUACCUGGGCUCGAACGUAAGAUGACUGUAGGUGAAAGCUUACAUCUCUUCGGAGCAUUUUACGAGGUGCUGCAUGGUUGUCGUCAGCUCGUGCCGUGAGGUGUCGGGUUAAGUCCCAUAACGAGCGCAACCCCUACCUUUAGUUGCCAUCAGGUUAAGCUGGGGACUCUAAAGGAACUGCCUACGCAAGUAGUGAGGAAGGCGGGGAUGACGUCAAAUCAGCACGGCCCUUACGUCCAGGGCUACACACGUGCUACAAUGGCCGAUACAGAGGGCAGCUACCUGGUGACAGGAUGCAAAUCUCCAAAGUCGGUCUCAGUUCGGAUCGGAGUCUGCAACCCGACUCCGUGAAGUUGGAUUCGCUAGUAAUCGCGCAUCAGCCAUGGCGCGGUGAAUACGUUCCCGGGCCUC